rnacentral:rRNA from 1 species
ACCGUCCCAGUUCGGAUUGCAGGCUGCAACCCGCCUGUAUGAAGUUGGAAUCGCUAGUAAUCGCGGAUCAGCAUGCCGCGGUGAAUACGUUCCCGGGCCUUGUACACACCGCCCGUCACACCAUGAGAGUCGGGAACACCCGAAGUCCGUAGUCUAACUUUCACGAGAGGACGCGGCCGAAGGUGGGUUCGAUAAUUGGGGGUGAAGUCGUAACAAGGUACC